GGGGUUGUGGCUCAGCGGUAGGACGCUCACCUAGCACGUGCAAGGCCCUGGGUUCGAUCCUCAGCACCACAUAAAAAUAAAUAAAAUAAAGGUAUUGUAUCCAACAACUAAAAAAUAAAUAUAUAAAAAAAUAAAGAGUAAAGCUUUAGCCAAGCGCAGUGUCAUAUACCUAUGAUCCCAGUGACUCGGGAGGCUGAAGCAGGAGGUUGGCAAGUUCAAGGGCAGCCUGGGCAAAUUAGCAAGACCCUAUCUCAUAAAGUAAAAAGGGCUGGGGAUGUAGCUCAGUGGUGAAACACCCUGGGAACAUGUCACUUAUUGCUAGUCUGAUACACUUCCCCAUAUGGGACUCCAGAUGAAAGCUAUUGGGGCCUGUGGCUUCAGGUCUCUGGACGUGGGGGACAGCUGUUCCCAAGGAGUGGCUGAGCUGAGAAUGCCCAUUCUUACCCAGAGUAACCUCUGGAGAGGAUUGGAAAAGAAGUGUGUGCCCACAUGCUCCGGUGCUAUCCUUGCCUGUGAUCUCAGCAUCUGUGGGUCAGCUACAAAUUUAGUACCAGAUCCUGGUGUGUCUUCCAGCAGAUUGAGAAUUGCCUUCUCGGGUCUUCCUCCACUGUGGAGCUGCUUAUACUACAAUAUCCCUUAGGGCAGUCCCCAACAGAGGAUUGAGGGGACAGGGAGAAGCACUGAAGGUGGGCUAGAAUCCCAAGCCCUCCAGGAGGUCUCACUGUGCCCUGGAGCCUCAGAUGCUGGAGGCCUGGUCAUCAUUCUGCAUUGUAGUGGAGCCUGUGGCCCUUUGGCCCAAGGAAGCCUGAAGGACUCAGCAUGCCACUGCCUUGGGGAGCCAUCGUCUUGCUCCCCCACUCUCUUGUGGGGCUGGGCCACUCAUCACUCCUCAAUGCAGGGACCUCUACACAGUCUGGGCUUCUAGCAAGUAGCCACCACCACAUGAAGUCAUAAUGUGAGUGGCCCAAGUUACUGGAACAUGGUUGUCUCAGCACCCCCUACCCCCUCACACACAGUGGCCCACAGCACCUGUGGAUACCCAGAGCAUCUCCACUCCAACCUCUCCUGCCUCCACUCUGCCAUCCCUGCAGGCCUUGUCCACAGCUAAAUUGGGCUGCAGAUUCCCACCACCUCCCUUUGUCUCUAGUCUCACCUGCCUGAGUAUUCUCCACACUGUUACCUUCUACAACGAGUUCCCAGCACCAACCCCCCCCACACAAAUCCACUGGCCCCAGGAUUGC
rnacentral:lncRNA from 1 species